rnacentral:snRNA from 1 species
AUGCCCACUUUGGCAGCACAUAUAUUAGAACACUGCAGAGAGGAUGAGCGUGGCCCUGUGCAGGGAUGACGUGCAAAUUUAUGAUGUGUUCCAUAUUUCA